UACGGAGGGUGCAAGCGUUGCUCGGAAUUAUUGGGCGUAAAGGGUCGGUAGGUGGUCUCAUUUGUCUGAGGUGAAAGCCUUGGGCUUAACUCAAGAAGUGCCUCAGAAACGGUGAGACUGGAGUCCUGGAGAGGGUCGUGGAAUUCCCGGUGUAGCGGUGAAAUGCGUAGAGAUCGGGAGGAACACCAGAGGCGAAAGCGGCGACCUGGACAGGUACUGACACUCAACUACGAAAGCGUGGGGAGCAAACAGG
rnacentral:rRNA from 1 species